UCUUGGUCAGUGACGUAUUAACGGCUGCUAGGUCGUUCAACAUUCACAUUAGCAAGCUUUGUUAGGAGGGCUAUAUAAUGUAUUACAGAGUUAGAUAGUCGUGAUUUAAGUAUCCCUCGUCUAAAACUGUUGUUGACGUUAGUUACACAUCUGGAAUCGGGACGGAAAUGACCGAUUUGGCAGAUUCUCUGACCAAAGAGGGCUGGUACCUCAGCGAUGAAGGCAUUGCAGAACUAAAAGGAUCUGCUGAGAAAAUAACCCACAGUGACAUCAUUCGUAUUGCACUUGAUAGUGAUCUUAGGCCUAUUGGCAGAAAAUUUCUACCAUCUGAUAUCAACAGUGGAAGAACUGAGAAGUUGGAGGGUCCAUGUGUCCUCCAGUUGCAGAAAGUGAGAAAUAUCUCAGCUCCUAAAGACAAUGAGGAGUCCCAGGGAGCACCGCGAAUGCUGCGCCUACAGAUGACAGAUGGGCACACCACCUGCGUUGGAUUAGAGUUUAAACAUCUGUCUGAGAUCAGUCUUAAUACGCCCCCUGGAACGAAGGUGAAGCUUCUCGGUACCGUCCAGGUUAAAAAUGGUGUUUUGCUGCUCGAUGACUCGAAAAUCUCUGUCCUUGGAGGAGAGGUUGAUCAUAUGGUGGAGAAAUGGGAACUACAGAGGAGUCUGGCCAAACACAGCAGGAGUAACAUUGGAGCAGAAGGUGGACCUCCUCCCUUUGUGCCAUUUGGUCAGAAGUGUGCAAGGAAGGAUGAUGUAGACAGUCGAGAACUAGAUCAGAGGAAGACCCUUCAGAUUCAAAAUGUGGUCAAGAGCACUGACGAGAAUGAUGAGUUUGAAAAGCAGCGGACGGCAGCUAUUGCUGAGGUGGCCAAGACCAAAGAGGGCCCCCGCACAUUUGGCGGCGGAGGAAACGCAGGCGGUAAUUUAUCCAACGCUGCUGCCUCCUCCCGAGGCCGAGACUCCUACCAGCAGAGGAGAAGAGAAGACAAGGUUGAUAGAACUCAAAGCAGACAGGAGGGAAACUACAGAGAGCUGGUGGAUGAACGUUCUUUGAGAGACAUCAUGGAGAUGGGCUUUAAUAGAGAAGCUGCUCGACAAGCUCUGAUGGAUAAUAAUAACAACCUUGAAGUGGCACUAAACAGCCUUUUGACUGGAUCUUCUGGUUGCAGACCUGGUUCUGUUGGAGCUGAAUCUCACAAGCCCCAACCCAGAGGCAGAGGAAAAGGAAGAGGCAGGUCCAGAAAUGAAGAUGAGGAGGAGGGGGCAGGGGGAAGACCUUCUGGACCAAGCACUCUAUUUGACUUUUUGGAAUCAAAGAUGGGAGUUUUUUCCAUUGACGAGCCAAAGAGCCUGGCGCCACAGAGACAUGAGAACAAAGCAAAUUUUCACACCAAAGACAUGUCUCAGACCAAGUUCUUCUCACAUAAUGACCACAGGCAACAAAGAAAUGACAAACCACCUCGCUUUCACAGAGACACUGAUUUUCCUAAACCUGGUCAGGAGCCAGUUUCUGGCACGACCUCAUCAGCUCACGCCCAGCAGUGGAAGGGCCAGGAGAGGUGGCCACGAGGCACAUCUGACCGAGUGCAAAACGACAGGAGAGAAAUGAGAGAUGAACCUAUUGUUCCUUCUUCCAUGAUGACUCAGCAGCCGAUGGAAUUAAGUGGAUCUUACCACCAACGGUCCCGGAAUGGAGAUGGUGUCGGGAAUACAUCUGGACCGUCUUACAGAAGGGGGGUAAAAGAUAACGGCCCCUCAUCCAAACCGAAUAAUUCUGCAGGAAGUGAAGUGGAUGGACACGGAAACAAUAAACGUACAGACAGAAAUGAUGAAGCCAACAAUAGCAGGAGGAAGGGGAAGGGUGACCGGCCAAACUCGGACCACUUUGAUAGACAAAGGGAUAGCGGGCCAUCAAUCUUUAACUCAAAAGGAGGACUCUCAGGGACUCCUCAUGAAAUAGGAUUUUUACAGGGUCCUCGAACAGUGACAGGGCAUCCUUCUCAUUUCCAGAACGGAGAGUUGGAAUAUAAAAGAACUGGACCAAUUAAACCAACAAACCCAUCCUUUCCUCCUAACAGGGAGCAGGUACCCAAGAAAAACGCUCCUAACAACCCUGGUCCUAAAAGAAGGCCAGGGCAGGGCAAGGGUCAAGGUCCUCGAGGACCAGAGAAAAGUCAUGUUACAGAGCAUGGUUGGAAACCUGGAGAUCAGUGUCUGGCACUGUAUUGGGAAGACAGCAAGUUUUACCAUGCCAGAAUAGACGCUGUUCAUCCGUCCGGUUCUACGGCCGUCGUCGUAUUCAGUGAUUAUGGAAACUGUGAAGAGGUCCUCCUGAAUAACAUUAAACCUAUUGCUGCUGAUGUGAUGGUAAGGAAAAAGAAAACACCUCAUCGUUUUAAGAAUUCAUUGCUUAUAUGAAGGGCUGCAAGUUUGGACCUUGGCUGGGGUUUUUCUUUGUGGAGUUUGCAUGUUUCCCCCAUGCAUGUGUGGGUUCUCUCCAGGUACUGUGGUUUCCUCCCACAAUCCACAAACAUGCAUGUUAGGUUAAUCUGUGUUUCUAAAUUGACCCUAGGACUGAGUGUAAGUGGUUGUUUGUCUCUCUGUUUUGGUCCUGUGAUGGACUGGCAACCUGUCUGGAGUGUAUCCUCCCUUCUGCCUAAUAGCAGCAUGGAAAGGCUCCAGCUCCUUGCAAGCUUAAAUUAGAGUAAGCAAGAGGAAGAUGAUGGUUACUAUGACAGCUCACUAGAGUUUCGCCGUGGGGGAGAUGGGCAGCCGAGACGCACG